rnacentral:rRNA from 1 species
AGAUUGAACGCUGGCGGCAGGCCUAACACAUGCAAGUCGAACGGUAACAGGAAGCAGCUUGCUGCUUCGCUGACGAGUGGCGGACGGGUGAGUAAUGUCUGGGAAACUGCCUGAUGGAGGGGGAUAACUACUGGAAACGGUGGCUAAUACCGCAUAACGUCGCAAGACCAAAGAGGGGGACCUUCGGGCCUCUUGCCAUCAGAUGUGCCCAGAUGGGAUUAGCUAGUUGGUGAGGUAACGGCUCACCAAGGCGACGAUCCCUAGCUGGUCUGAGAGGAUGACCAGCCACACUGGAACUGAGACACGGUCCAGACUCCUACGGGAGGCAGCAGUGGGGAAUAUUGCACAAUGGGCGCAAGCCUGAUGCAGCCAUGCCGCGUGUAUGAAGAAGGCCUUCGGGUUGUAAAGUACUUUCAGCGGGGAGGAAGGUGUUGUGGUUAAUAACCGCAGCAAUUGACGUUACCCGCAGAAGAAGCACCGGCUAACUCCGUGCCAGCAGCCGCGGUAAUACGGAGGGUGCAAGCGUUAAUCG